AGGAAAGUAGGGGAUCGUAAGACCUUGCGCUUUUGGAGCGGCCGAUGUCUGAUUAGCUAGUUGGUGAGGUAAAGGCUUACCAAGGCUUCGAUCAGUAGCUGGUCUGAGAGGACGACCAGCCACACUGGGACUGAGACACGGCCCAGACUCCUACGGGAGGCAGCAGUGGGGAAUUUUGGACAAUGGGGGCAACCCUGAUCCAGCCAUGCCGCGUGAGUGAAGAAGGCCUUCGGGUUGUAAAGCUCUUUCAGCCGGAACGAAAAGGUUACGGUUAAUACCCGUGACUAAUGACGGUACCGGAAGAAGAAGCACCGGCUAACUACGUGCCAGCAGCCGCGGUAAUACGUAGGGUGCGAGCGUUAAUCGGAAUUACUGGGCGUAAAGCGUGCGCAGGCGGUUUUGUAAGUCAGAUGUGAAAUCCCCGGGCUUAACCUGGGAACUGCGUUUGAAACUACAAGGCU
rnacentral:rRNA from 1 species